rnacentral:tRNA from 1 species
GAUACUGUAGCUUAACUGGUAGAGCUGGGAGCUGUUAACUCUCAAAGUAUAGGUUCAAAUCCUAUCAGUAUCG